UGAGUGACAUCAACCAAACGCUGAAGAGAGAAUUUCGACCGCUUCGUGUCCUACAAUAGCCGCCUCCGCAACUCCAAUGAAAAUUGUAUAUAUAUGCAUAUGCUUUUUGUUGAAGCGGGAGCGGCCGGUGUACGGAACAACACGUAAAAUCCUCAAUCCCCAAGUGAAGAAUCAAACCGCUUUCGCAACUCCAAAAAAAUUGAAAAUCGCAGUCGCGCCGCCGCAGGUCUGCCUUGCAAGAGUGAGAUAGAUGUAUCGUCUGUCGCUGUAUGUGUGUGUUUUGCAUGCGCCUGCUUCUGCGUACAAAAAAAAUACGUCAGCCGACAGCGCAGCCGCAGCUGUUGUCUCUCUGUCUCUCGCUCUCUCUCUGCUUUUGCAAGGUAGCAGAAAAGG